rnacentral:lncRNA from 12 species
AUUCUUUUCACAAGGGUAAUUGACGGAGACUGAAAGCAGAGUAGAGUCUCCUCAAGAAAGUGUGCCCACAGCAGAGACUCCUGGCAAAGGACAGAGCAUUACGCUGUAACAUCAGAUUUGUGGUCUGCUGAGCCAUGUAAGCAGGGCCAGAAGGGCAAAAGCUUACUAGUAAAAAUGAAUGCCAGUGGAAGGGUAAGAACGCCAGUCUCCAAGAAGCAUGAAAAAUUCACAUGUGCUGCAGGACAGCCAGUUUCUUUAGUGCCUGAGAUCAUUGUCAGAUUCAAUCUUUUCCCAUAAUAAUAUAUUACCUCUAUUAAUUUGCAAGAUUCCAGGGUGAGAUAAUAUGAAAAGUACUAGAUGCUGCGCAAAUGGCCCCUUAUCCAUAACUAGAAAUUAUGUGUGUGGUAAUUAGUUUGCUGUAACUAAAACUGCGAGCCCCAACAUGUCAGUUUUGUGCUCCAUGGCAUUAGAUGCCUGAGCAGUUUUAUUUUAGUUUAUUUUUUUAAACUGUCUUUGGCAACUGCCCAAUAAUACUUGGAGUGAAGCAGUACCCUCCCUUCCAUUUAGCCUGUUAAACAAGCCUGUUGAGCAAUAAGGGCAGAAAAGUGGAACCUUCCUCACCUUCAGUCAACCUUUCCUUAAUUGGGCAACAAUGCAUAUUUCCACUCCUGACAAAAGAGAAAUGCAGUUUUGAUUUUCCAGGAGCAUGCUAUGAGGAUCACAAUUCAUUUAUCUUAAUUCUCGUUUCUUAGGUACACACAUUUACUACCAAAAAAAUGAGCUUGCAUGGAUUAUUACUGAUGCUCAUUGGCCCUCUUAACGUUAAGCCCCGAAGUGAGUACUGUAACAGCAGCACAGCUUGGGCUGAAUUGGCUGAGAAAUUGCAUUCCCUAAAGAAAGGAAGAACAUGAGAAUCCUUUGAGGUAAGGAUCCUAGUGGGGACUCUGGUUAUGAGUUCAGCCCAUGUAGAGUUCGGAUUGUUUGUAAUGUUUUUGUUUCUACCCAAUUUUUCAUCACUGAGGGGAAAAAACCCAUUACAAAAUCCUCACUUCACAGAAGAUAUUUUCAGAUUCAGAUUUUAGAUAACUCCCAGGUUCUUUAUUUUUAUUUUCAUUUAUUUUCUCCCCAGGUUGUUUUACGCAGGGAACAAGAUACGUAUAAAAUUGGAAAAGUUCUAAGGAAAAAUUAAUAUGAUUUUAUAAUCCUACCUACUGAGUUUCAACAGCCAUCCCUUCCUCCCUCUCCCCCACAAUUAAUUAUCUGCUCUGGUUAAAUGAUAGUCUUCACAGUGAUUCUUUUGGCUAGAUUUUAUACAGUAAGGAAAGCAGAGUUUCUGGAUUUGACACACUGAAAACCUUGGUUUUAAGAAGUCUAAGGAAUUGAGAGCAUUGAUUAUAAAGCAGAAGUCUGGGGUGAGAGCUUGUAACCAGCUCCUCCUGCCCCAUCUUGGUCAUUUCAAUCUUUUCUCAUGUUCUCCUACUUUCUCAUGUUCUCCUUCCUUCAUGUGGUACUUCCUACUCCUCCCCAUCACAAGGUCUGAGGAGGCAUUAUUUAGUGUAAUGAAUAAUGGCUUUUGAGUAGCUCUUUGACACUCACCAAGUAUAUUCACUUUUCUGCCAUAUUUCAUCAUCAUGGAAGACAUGCAGCAGAUAAUUUUACUAUCCUCAGCAUCUAGAUGAAGAAAUUGAGAUACAGAGAUGGGUCACAACACCUAGAAAAUGUGGUAGAAGUGGAACUUCUAUCAGCUUUUUAAAUUUUUUUAUGCCAAGUUUUAAGUAACAUUUGAGGCCACAGUAGUCAGCAUCACCUGGUCUGA